rnacentral:rRNA from 1 species
GGCUCAGGAUGGACGCUAGCUACAGGCUUAACACAUGCAAGUCGAGGGGUCUUUUGGAGCUUGCUUUGAAAGACGACCGGCGCACGGGUGAGUAACGCGUAUCCAACCUGCCCUUCAUAUUGGGAUAGCCUUCCGAAAGGAAGAUUAAUACCGAAUAACAUGAGAGAGUUGCCUGAUUUUCUCAUGAAAGCUCCGGCGAUGAAGGAUGGGGAUGCGUUCCAUUAGGUAGUAGGCGGGGUAACGGCCCACCUAGCCGACGAUGGAUAGGGGUUCUGAGAGGAAGGUCCCCCACACUGGAACUGAGACACGGUCCAGACUCCUACGGGAGGCAGCAGUGAGGAAUAUUGGUCAAUGGGCGCAAGCCUGAACCAGCCAAGUAGCGUGAAGGAUGACUGCCCUAUGGGUUGUAAACUUCUUUUAUAUGGGAACAAAUGUAGUUACGUGUAGCUAUUUGCGUGUACCAUAUGAAUAAGCAUCGGCUAACUCCGUG